rnacentral:lncRNA from 1 species
GAACAUCUUAUUUCUCUCAAAAAGGUCCAAUUUCAUCCUUGCCCAAUAAAAUUGCAUGCUAUCUUUUCAGCAGCAUCCAAGCUUAGUGCAAAGUUUCACUUGUCCAAGCCCCACCCCGAGACUGAAUCAAUGAUUGCAAGUUGUGACUUCUGUGAGCCUGGCAAGGAGGGACUUCUGCAGUCAGCAACCCAGGCUUCUCUCUUUCACAGGCUUGGGAUGUAGAACAAGGUCAAAAUAUUUAAUUUGGAAGCGACAUAUUCCUCUGCUGGUUUACCUUAGGAGGUCUCAAACAUUGAGGUAUUUGGUUUACAAAGAACUUCCAGACAAAAGAGAUUGGUUUCAUUCAGGCAAGGAGGACAAAACCUGAAAAAUGAAACACUGUUCAUGGCUCUUGAUUACAAGUGACAGAAAUCCAAUUAAAACUAGUUUAAUCAAAAAGAGAAUUAGUUCCCUUUAUUGGAAAUCCAGGGGAGAAUCUGGCUUCAGGAUCUCCAGUUAAUAAAGUUUUCUCUCUCCUCUCACUCCUAUUCUUGUGGCAGCUUCUCUGUAUGAAUUAGCUUCAUUCUCUCAAGCUAUGGAGGCUGGGUAUGGGAUAGUCAGAGCUGGAGAGUAGAAUUUGAAGAAACAUACCUAGAAGUCAG